rnacentral:rRNA from 1 species
UCGGAUUGUAGUCUGCAACCGACACAUGAAGCUGGAAUCGCUAGUAAUCGCGGAUCAGAAUGCCGCGGUGAAUACGUUCCCGGGUCUUGUACACACCGCCCGUCACACCAUGGGAGUCGGAAAUGCCCGAAGUCUGUGACCCAACCUGAGAGGGAGGGAGCAGCCGAAGGCAGGUCUGAUGACUGGGGUGAAGUCGUAACAAGGUAAC